UGGGGAAUAUUGCACAAUGGGCGAAAGCCUGAUGCAGCAACGCCGCGUGAGUGAUGAAGGUUUUCGGAUCGUAAAACUCUGUCCUCAAGGAAGAUAAUGACGGUACUUGAGGAGGAAGCCCCGGCUAACUACGUGCCAGCAGCCGCGGUAAUACGUAGGGGGCUAGCGUUAUCCGGAUUUACUGGGCGUAAAGGGUGCGUAGGCGGUCUUUCAAGUCAGAAGUUAAAUUCUACGGCUCAACCGUAGCCAGCUUUUGAAACUGGAAGACUUGAGUGCAGGAGAGGAGAGUAGAAUUCCUAGUGUAGCGGUGAAAUGCGUAGAUAUUAGGAGGAAUACCAGUAGCGAAGGCGGCUCUCUGGACUGUAACUGACGCUGAGGCACGAAAGCGUGGGGAGCGAACAGG
rnacentral:rRNA from 1 species